rnacentral:rRNA from 1 species
GACGUAGGGCGCGAGCGUUGUCCGGAUUUAUUGGGCGUAAAGAGCUCGUAGGCGGCUUGUUGCGUCAGCUGUGAAAACCCGCAGCUCAACUGUGGGCUUGCAGCUGAUACGGGCAGGCUUGAGUUCGGUAGGGGAGACUGGAAUUCCUGGUGUAGCGGUGGAAUGCGUAGAGAUCCGGAAGAACACCGGUGGCGAAGGCGGUCUGCUGGGGUGAGGCUGACACUGAGGCGCGACAGCGUGGGGAGCAACAGG